CUAAGCAUAUCAAUAAGCGGAGGAAAAGAAACCAACAGGGAUUGCCCUAGUAACGGCGAGUGAAGCGGCAACAGCUCAAAUUUGAAAUCUGGCUCUUUCAGAGUCCGAGUUGUAAUUUGCAGAGGGCGCUUUGGCUUUGGCAGCGGUCCAAGUUCCUUGGAACAGGACGUCACAGAGGGUGAGAAUCCCGUACGUGGUCGCUAGCUAUUGCCGUGUAAAGCCCCUUCGACGAGUCGAGUUGUUUGGGAAUGCAGCUCUAAAUGGGAGGUAAAUUUCUUCUAAAGCUAAAUAUUGGCCAGAGACCGAUAGCGCACAAGUAGAGUGAUCGAAAGAUGAAAAGCACUUUGGAAAGAGAGUCAAACAGCACGUGAAAUUGUUGAAAGGGAAGCGCUUGCAGCCAGACUUGCUUGCAGUUGCUCAUCCGGGCUUUUGCCCGGUGCACUCUUCUGCAGGCAGGCCAGCAUCAGUUUGGGCGGUGGGAUAAAGGUCUCUGUCAUGUACCUCUCUUCGGGGAGGCCUUAUAGGGGAGGCGACAUACCACCAGCCUAGACUGAGGUCCGCGCAUCUGCUAGGAUGCUGGCGUAAUGGCUGUAAGCGGCCCGUCUUGAAACACGGACCAAGGAGUCUAACAUCUAUGCGAGUGUUUGGGUGUCAAGCCCGAGCGCGUAAUGAAAGUGAACGGAGGUGGGAACCCGCAAGGGUGCACCAUCGACCGAUCCUGAAGUUUACGGAAGGAUUUGAGUAAGAGCAUGGCUGUUGGGACCCGAAAGAUGGUGAACUAUGCUUGAAUAGGGUGAAGCCAGAGGAAACUCUGGUGGAGGCUCGCAGCGGUUCUGACGUGCAAAUCGAUCGUCAAAUUUGGGCAUAGGGGCGAAAGACUAAUCGAACUAUCUAGUAGCUGGUUCCUGCCGAA
rnacentral:rRNA from 1 species